UAAGCAUAUAAGUAAGCGGAGGAUAAGAAACUAAAUAGGAUUCCCUCAGUAAUGGCGAAUGAACAGGGAAAAGCUCAGCAUGGAAAUUGGGGCCUCUGGCCUUGAAUUGUAGUCUUGAGAUGGCAUUGCCAGUGGAGGCGCAGAUGUAAGCCUAUUGGAAAAUAGCAUCAAUGAGGGUGAGAGUCCCGUUUGUCAUCUGCAGUCCCCCAUGUUCGGUGUGCUUUCUAAGAGUCACGUUCCUUGGGAUUGGAGCGCAAAUUGGGUGGUAAAUUUCAUCUAAAGCUAAAUAUUGGUUCGAGACCGAUAGCAAACAAGUACCAUGAGGGAAAGGUGAAAAGGACUUUGAAAAGAGAGUUAAAAGUGCCUGAAAUUGCUGAAAGGGAAGCGAAUGGAACCAGUCUUCUUGGUGAGAUUGUUGCACGCUAUGGUGAUUGCCUGCUGCUUCAACGCAAGUGUUGCAGUGGGUUUUGAUCCUGACGUGUGCUUUGUUUCUUACCUCGUGUGUCAACGUCGGUUCGGAAUUGAGGAAAACUCUAGGGACAUGGUAACUCGACUGCGGUUGAGCCAAUGUGCCUGGUAGAACUCAUUUCUUAACUGAUUUCUGCAUGUCUGGUCGCAGUGUUUCAUUACCUGUGUCUGGUGCUGCGCUUGUAGCUUCUGCUGCUCGUUGUGGUUCUGGGCCUGGUCGUGGAGCAUCUCCCUGACAUUAGUACGAUGACAAAAUGGUUUCAUUCGACCCGUCUUGA
rnacentral:rRNA from 1 species